UACAGAGACUGCAAGCGUUAUUCGGAUUCACUGGGCGUAAAGGGUGCGCAGGCGGCCGUGUGUGUUAGGUGUGAAAGCCCGGGGCUUAACCCCGGAAUUGCGCCUAAAACUACAUGGCUAGAGCAUUGGAGAGGGUAGCGGAAUUCACGGUGUAGCAGUGAAAUGCGUAGAUAUCGUGAGGAACACCAGAGGCGAAGGCGGCUACCUGGACAAUUGCUGACGCUCAGGCACGAAAGCGUGGGGAGCAAAA
rnacentral:rRNA from 1 species